AGCAUACCUUAAAAAAAAAAAAAAAAAAAAAAAAAAUGCAGCCGGAUGGAGUUUGGAGUGGUUUUAAUUCUGCCUUUCAUAAAUAGAGUUCUUUUAAAAGACCAUGAAGUUCAUGUUGAGUCAUCAAGUCAUAGAAGUUCAAGGACUAGAGGGGUCUGGGAAGUCACUCAAACCCCCUCUUUCAUUUUAUAUCUGGGGAAUCAACCAUUAAACAUUCUCCGGAGUCUCAAUGGCUUAACUACUAUUAAAAUCAAACACAGAAUAUAAUUAAGCAUGUAAUUAGAAACAUUAAUAACCGUACUCAGCCAAAAAGUAGUUACAUUUCAGAGUGCAACUAAAUGCUUUUUUCUUGUCUUCUCUCCUCCAAAGUAAUGGUUCAAAGUGGAGACGUUAGAAAAAUGUCUCUGCAGAUCAGCAGAAGUCAGGGGCAACUACAGGAGUCAUUCUCAGGACAGAUUUCUCCGUAUGGAAUCAGCCCGCCGCCACCAAUGCAAUCAGUGGACUUUGGACAAAAUCAAAGCCAUCAGCUAGACCAAGACAGCUCUCUGGUUAAGAUCAAGGCAAAGGCCCUCACCCAGUAGACAUCUGUAUGAAUUGCUGUCUGGGGAAGAAUGAAACACUCCAUUCUUGACUUUUCUGUUUUGUCUUGGUGUUUCCACCUGUUUAAGAGUAAUAAUGUAAAGGCAGCAAGGACAGGCACAUUACAUUUUGGAUACUUUUCCCCCUAGCUCAUUCAGCUGCCUGAGUCUAAAGAUAAAGACGGUAUGCCGAGAACUAGAAAAAUGGAACAGGGGAAGCCAAGGCAUGUCCUUACCUGGAAUGAGAAGCAGAGACUAACUGCAGGGAGAUGCCAAGGUGCUAAUAAAACCUGGACUCAUUAUAAUACCCGGAAUUGUUCAUCCGUCUUUCUGAAGCACCGAGCACUAUGAAGACAUACAUACUGCCUGGAAACAGAUACGGUUAGAAAAUGAUUAGAAACGCAGACUAUUUUGUUCAGUUCGUUUUUGUUUUGUCACAGGAACGCAUGCGCACACUUAAAACACCCUACUAGUCCUACCAGGCUAGUUAGGAAAAACAGUUUCAGUCGCCUGCCUGCCGUUUUCUCUCUUUUCAGCCACAGCUGUGCACAAUCCUGUCCGUCGAUUCUUUUGGUAUUUACCUCUACACUUCUGCAAGAUAUUCUUAUACUACCAUUUCCUGCAAGUUUUUCUCAGUGUUACGCAUCAUCCAAGGACUUCCCACUGUGGCAAGUAAGAAUUUAGCUCGCUUUCAGUGCUGUUCCCACCUCCUUGGCCCCAUCCUGCCUCGACUUCGCAUCCCUGCAUCCUCCCAAUUAAGUUAUAUUUGUAGUUAUAAUUGUGGUUAGAUCCAUAUCUACAUUAUUAUCGCUGUGUAAAUGCUAUUACAGCAUGCUCUGUGAUACUUAGAGGAGGACUUCUAACCUCCUCUAAUGGAGGGAUCAUUCAGGUGUAUCUUCAUUCGACAAGUGUUUAUUGAUGCUUACACCCUGCCAAGCACUGUGCUCAAUGCUGGUUACACAGGGGUAACCAGGGAGCUAUGGGCCUUCCAUUGUGGUGUAGAACAGUCAGCCCAGGCUCUGGAACCAGACUGCCGGGGUCAAAUAUUUUCCACCUUCGGUGUGCCCGGGUGGCUCAGUUGGGUAAGUGUCCGACUUCCACUGGGAUCACGAUCUCUUCAUUGGUGGGUUUGGGUCCCACAUCGGGCCUGCAUUGGGCUCUGCGCUGGUGGGAUUCUCUCUCUCCCUCUCUCUCUCUGCCCUACCUCUACUCCCACUCUCUCACACGAUCUCUCUCAAAAUAAAUAAAUAAACUUAAAAAAAUAUCUUUUCCACUUUCUAGUCAUGUAAUCUUGGGUAACUUACUUAACCAUUUUUUACCUCAGUUACCUAAGAAUUGUUGACACAAUUACAUGAAUGAAAAUGUGUGAAGUACUAUCAAGUAUGUGUAAUAGUACCUGGUAGAGAGUAGGCAAUACAGAAAUGUUACAUAUUAUUGUUUUAGGAGUCAAAUGGAAAGGAAAAAUUUACAUAUAUUCCACGAACUUAUAUAUAUAAUUAUAUAUGGUUGUAUAUGUAUAUACAUACGUGUUUAUGUAUAUGUGAAUAUGAUGUCUAUAUUUAUAAUAAAUUACUAAGAAUGAAAAGUACAGAGUGCUACAAGAGUACUAAACCAGA